rnacentral:rRNA from 1 species
AGUGAACGCUGGCGGUAGGCCUAACACAUGCAAGUCGAACGGCAGCACAGUAAGAGCUUGCUCUUACGGGUGGCGAGUGGCGGACGGGUGAGGAAUACAUCGGAAUCUACUUUUUCGUGGGGGAUAACGUAGGGAAACUUACGCUAAUACCGCAUACGACCUACGGGUGAAAGCAGGGGAUCUUCGGACCUUGCGCGAUUGAAUGAGCCGAUGUCGGAUUAGCUAGUUGGCGGGGUAAAGGCCCACCAAGGCGACGAUCCGUAGCUGGUCUGAGAGGAUGAUCAGCCACACUGGAACUUAGACACGGUCCAGACUCCUACGGGAGGCAGCAGUGUGGAAUAUUGGACAAUGGGCGCAAGCCUGAUCCAGCCAUACCGCGUGUGUGAAGAAGGCCUUCGGGUUGUAAAGCCCUUUUGUUGGGAAAGAAAAGCAGCAGGUUAAUACCCCGCUGUUCUGACGGUACCCAAAGAAUAAGCACCGGCUAACUUCGUG